UUUUUUUUUUUGUCUUUUUUGUCUUUUUUGCCAUUUCUUGGACCACUCCCGAGGCAUAUGGAGGUUCCCAGGCCAGGAGUCGAAUUGGAGCUGUAGCUGCCACACUAUGCCAGAGCCACAGCAACGCCAGAUCUGAGCCGCGUCUGCAACCUACACCACGGAUCACAGCCAACACCAGAUCCUAACCCACUGAGCAAGGCCAGGGAUUGAACCCGAAACCCCAUGGUUCCUAGUCAAAUUCGUUAACCACUGAGCCACGAGGGGAACUCCUAUCUGAUUUUCUUACAAUGAGCAAUGAAAAGGUGUUUUAACAACCAACUUUUGAAGGGGGAGCAAAUUCUGNNNNNNNNNNNNNNNNUCCCUAAGUCUACGCUAAAUGCUCUUUUACUGGAUGCCAAAACUUGUGAAUUCUAUGUCAAAGCCCUGAACUAUGCCUCAACACUUAGAACUUCGUAUUUGCUAGACAAAUAAUAUAAUAAUCGGGGAGAUACAGAUAGAAAGCUUUUCAGUGGUUACUGACAAAAGCCUUGCAAGCUAUACUUCCAGCAUCAUGAGCUAUCACAACUGGCUGCUCUGUCUCUUGGGAAUCAGGGCAAACACUAGAAUCUAACGUCAGGAGCCCAGCGAUCUCUGGUUCCAGAAUCAGCAGAUCAGAGAUGCGACAGGACAAGGCCACGUUUGGCCUUGAGAAGGAAGAGCCAAUAAAAGCAAGGUGAUGAGAAAAAUAGUCUUCUGCCCAUUCUGUGCUCAUGCAGCCAGGAUUUAGAUUCUUGAGAUCUGAGAAAUCUAACACAAAAAUGUAUUCUUUCAAUGAUGUGAUUAAAAAAACAAAAAACAAAAAAAAAAACCUUGGAUGGUCAGUAAAGUAACUUCAGCUACAAGGUAGCCAGAAUGUCUUUAAACCAUAAACUGGACUUACCUUAAAACACAGUGGACAUUCAAGGAACCCCUGUGGCUAGUCCACGCUGAGACAUCAAUAUUAGCAUUGGUAUCAAAAGGUUAUAAAUGAAUAAAUAUUUUUUGUCUU
rnacentral:lncRNA from 1 species